UACAGAGGUCCCAAGCGUUGUUCGGAUUCACUGGGCGUAAAGGGUGCGUAGGUGGUGAGGUAAGUCGGAUGUGAAAGCUCGGAGCUCAACUCCGAAAUGGCAUUGGAAACUACCUUGCUCGAGGGUUGGAGGGGGGACUGGAAUGCUUGGUGUAGCAGUGAAAUGCGUAGAUAUCAAGCGGAACACCAGUAGCGAAGGCGAGUCCCUGGACAACUCCUGACACUGAGGCACGAAAGCUAGGGGAGCAAACAGG
rnacentral:rRNA from 1 species